UCUAAAGAGCUGAGUUGACUUCAGAGUAGAAAAGCUGAGUUCAGCAACACACACUCAGAUGCUCCUUGCCUCUUUGGCUUCUCAGAUUAUGCUCCCCCAGUGCCGGGGAUACAAAUAUGUCUUGCCCAAACUUUUCUUGCCUUUUUUUUUUUUUUUUUUUUUUUCUAAGUUAAGUAAAGAGAUUAUGUUUCUCAUUCAUGGAGGUUACUCAAAGCCCUGGCUGGAAACAGUACAUAGUGAGACAGAACACGAGAGGAGGAGGGGCAGAGAGAGAAGGAGACAGAGAAUCUGAUGCAGGCUCCAGGCUCCGAGCAAGCGUUCAACACAGAGCCCAAUGGGGGGCUCAAACCCAUCAUGACCUGGACUGAAGCUGGGCUCCUAACCGACUGAGCCACCCAGGAAGCCACAACUCUCAGCCUCCCAAAUGGGGAAGAGGAGCUGUGGGGUGCAGGACUGGCUUCCUAUUUCCACUGAGCCACGGCAAUGAAACUCAGAGCCUGGGGAGUCUUUCUCCAAGCGAGUGAGGGCUGAAGGACGGGAGGAGCCACAGCCCCUGGUCCCACAACUGAACAGAAACCCCACCACUGGCAAGGCAACCAGCGGCCAGUGGUUUUCUCUCCUUGGGGUUGGGCAGAGAAGCCUAAGAAGCCACCAAAGGCCGGAGAGGAGGAGCCCCACCUCUGUGUUCUCUGAGCAGUUCUGCUUUUAUCUCUCUUAGUUAUCGCUGUUCCAUUUUAAGCUUCAUUUGAAUAAAGAGUUUUGCUGCUA